UACGGGGGGGGUAAGCGUUGUUCGGAAUUAUUGGGCGUAAAGGGCGCGUAGGCGGCCUGGCAAGUGGAAGGUGAAAUCCCUCGGCUUAACCGAGGAACUGCCCUCCAAACUGCUUGGCUUGAGUCCGGGAGAGGUGAGUGGAAUUCCCAGUGUAGCGGUGAAAUGCGUAGAUAUUGGGAGGAACACCAGUGGCGAAGGCGGCUCACUGGACCGGAACUGACGCUGAGGCGCGAAAGCGUGGGGAGCAAACAGG
rnacentral:rRNA from 1 species